rnacentral:lncRNA from 1 species
GUUCAUCCUGAGUUAAAAUUUUGUUAUCCCCGGAAGCAGAGAUGCACUGACUCUGGUGAUCUCAGUAUGAAUGUGUUAUGAAAUCUUCUAGGUGUCUUUGGUGGGGCCUGAGGGAGGGUAGGAAAGGUGACGAGGAAAAAGUAGAGGGAGCCUGAACACCCUGGGUCUCAGGUACGGAGUGAAGAAAUCACUAAGGUGAAAAGACAGGCUGGGGCCCAGGAGCUCGUCCAAGUCCUGAUGAACAAUAGGUCCUGGGCAACAUCACAGGCCACCAAACACACCUUCAGCCCCAGGGUCGAACAGGUGGUGGAAGAGCACAGCCAUCUUCAGGAAUAGAAAAGCAGAAAAAAGUGGGGAAGAUUUUCCAUCUUGAACUUGUGAGCUGGAGAACUACCAUUAGUAGCCCACCAAUAGGUUAUGGCUGAUGAGUCACUUCAUAACAUACUGAGAGCCACUUUUGACACUUCCAGAAAAGGCAGGUUAACAAAGCCCCUUGAUGGAAGGAAGACCCUCAUUGCCCAGUGUACCGAAGCCUCUUUGAACCUUGCUUAGACUGAACUGCAAAUGUCUUGACUGCUCUGGGCUCCUUAGUGCAACUCCUUCCCACAGAAGCCAUCAGGAGCCUGGUCCAGGAAGCUCCUCUCCUACACCUGCCUUAAAAGGCCCAGCUCUGCUGGGGAGUAAGGUUCAUGGGGGCCGUCCCAAUGCAAAAGGGAAUCUCUGCCAUCACCCACUGCAACCACAUGGUAGCCACUCUGCAGCCGGCAGGCGUGAGGCAUGCUGCGCUAACAUGGGAGGGCGGAGGCUCUGCCUGACUUCCCAGAAGCCCAGUGAGAAGUCCAGGACAAUCAGCAGGUGCUAUGGGA